GGAAUCUUGGACAAUGGGGGCAACCCUGAUCCAGCGACGCCGCGUGGGUGAUGAAGGCCUUCGGGUUGUAAAGCCCUUUCGCCGGGGACGAUGAUGACGGUCCCCGGCGAAGAAGCACCGGCUAACUCCGUGCCAGCAGCCGCGGUAAGACGGAGGGUGCUAGCGUUGUUCGGAAUCACUGGGCGGAAGGGGCGCGUAGGCGGCCUUGGCCGUCGGCUGUGAAAGCCCGGGGCUCAACCCCGGAGGUGCAGCCGAGACCCCAAGGCUGGAGGCCGGAAGAGGAGGGUGGAAUACCCAGUGUAGAGGUGAAAUUCGUAGAUAUUGGGUGGAACACCGGUGGCGAAAGCGGCUCUCUGGUCCGGUCCUGACGCUGAGGCGCGAAAGCGUGGGGAGCAAA
rnacentral:rRNA from 1 species